rnacentral:rRNA from 1 species
UGGGGAAUUUUGGACAAUGGGCGAAAGCCUGAUCCAGCAAUGCCGCGUGUGUGAAGAAGGCCUUCGGGUUGUAAAGCACUUUUGUCCGGAAAGAAAUCCUUGGCUCUAAUACAGUCGGGGGAUGACGGUACCGGAAGAAUAAGCACCGGCUAACUACGUGCCAGCAGCCGCGGUAAUACGUAGGGUGCAAGCGUUAAUCGGAAUUACUGGGCGUAAAGCGUGCGCAGGCGGUUUGCUAAGACCGAUGUGAAAUCCCCGGGCUCAACCUGGGAACUGCAUUGGUGACUGGCAGGCUAGAGUAUGGCAGAGGGGGGUAGAAUUCCACGUGUAGCAGUGAAAUGCGUAGAGAUGUGGAGGAAUACCGAUGGCGAAGGCAGCCCCCCUGGGCCAAUACUGACGCUCAUGCACGAAAGCGUGGGGAGCAAAACAGGAUUAGAUACCCCUGGUAGUCCACGCCCUAAAACGAUGUCAACUAGUUGUUGGGGAUUCAUUUCCUUAGUAACGUAGCUAACGCGUGAAGUUGACCGCCUGGGGAGUACGGUCGCAAGAUUAAAACUCAAAUGAAUUGACGGGGUCAUAGCUGUUUCCU